rnacentral:rRNA from 1 species
UACGUAGGGACCGAGCGUUGUCCGGAUUCAUUGGGCGUAAAGAGCUCGUAGGCGGCCACUCAAGUCGAAUGUGAAACCUCGAGGCUCAACCUCGAGCCUGCAUUCGAUACUGGGCGGCUAGAGUCUGGUAGGGGGAUCUGGAAUUCCUGGUGUAGCGGUGGAAUGCGCAGAUAUCAGGAGGAACACCAAUUGCGAAGGCAGCUCGCUGGGACGUUACUGACGCUGAGACGCGAAAGCGUGGGGAGCGAACAGG